AUCCUCAACGGAUCUUCUCAAGUCAUGGCCAUCUUUGAAUUGUCGUACCCACUUACGCAUUGCUCCGAUAACCAAGAGUUCACUGUAAUCAAAGAAGGGCGACCGGAGCGGUCCUCAUCAUGGAUGUUGUCACGGCCAUCUUUGAAUUGUCGUACCUACUUACUUAAAUGUUUUCGGGGGCGGGCACUACAUCUCCCAUAAUCCACUGGAUGGUAACUUGUGGGAGUUGUAGUCCCUCGAAAGGUAAAGGCUCCAAGCUCUGUCUUGGCUCAUAAUUUCACGAUCAUAGGGUUCCUACAUGGAAGUGUGUCAGUAGAAAGGGUCAUCAGAUGUCCAAAUCUUCCUGGCUUUUGGAGGAACGGAGCUGAUCUCUGUCUCUUCUCAAAUCCUAUGUAGGCUGUGAGUCCAUAGCAUCCAUCUGCUAAGACACAAUACUUGGUCGGAGAAGGGUUGAGUAGAUAAUAUAACAUGUCCAAGAAGAACCUAAAACUGAAGCAAGGUGACCUCUACCAACUACUAUUUCCUGGUGUCUCUGUGUGUGUUUGUACGCAUUUUUACUUCUUGCUCCGUAGUGUCUUUUGAAACUUGUGUGCAUCGUGGUUUAGGGACCAAAACCUACCCUAAUGGCCAUCUUUAGCCUUCGGGGGAUAUAUUAUAUUCUUCGCUUCGAAGAGGAAAAACUAGCCCUUGUUUGUUAAGUGCCUCAGAGUAACCAGAAGGGUAGAAAUGAGUCGAUGCCAGAAAGGAUUGGCUCAACUAGAACUGCCUGCCACCAUAUUUUCCUAGUGGACCAAACGUCAGCAAUUCCGGAUUUAGCAAUUCCGUCUCUUUUGCUUGUUUUCGUCUCUCUGAGUUUCUUGUCUCAUUGUUUUGGGUGGAUUUAUUCCACAGCUCCUCGCAGUGGCAUUUGGUGCCUCUUACGUUAGUGAGGUUGGGUUUUUUGUCUAAAUGUUGAAGGACGUCUUCAAGGGAGAUGGACCUUAUCCCACCCCCACCCCGAGAGGUGCAGAGCCUUGACAUCGAGACUCAAUCACCAACCCAUUGACUCAGAAUCCACUAACCAUAAUGGCCAUGGAACGGUUGGGAUCCACACUAGCUGUCGCCAAGAAGACCCAAUGAAUCCCUGGCCUUCUAAAAACGUAGACUGAUGUUCUAGACAAGCAGUUUAAUUAUAGACUUCCCUUACCCAAUUCAACUGCUGGCUCUUAAGGUGGUCUUUUAGCGCCAAAUACAUUUCCUUUCCCUAAUCCAACUGUUGGCUCUUAAGAUGGGCCUUUCAGGAUGAAUAGACUUCCUUUGCCCAAUCCAACUGCUGGUUAUUAAGGUGGGCUUUUAGGGCCAAAUGGACUUCUUUUGCCCAAUCCAGUUGCUGGCCCUUAAGGUGGGCUUUUCUGGAUGAAUAGACUUCUUUUGCCCAACCCAACUGUUGGUUAUUAAGGUUGACUUUCAGGGCCAAAUGGAGUUCCUUUGCCCAAACCAACUGCUGGCUCGUAAGGUCAACUUUUAGGGCUGAAUGGAGUUCCUUUGCCCAAACCAACUGCUGGCUCUUGAGGUGGGCUUUCCAGCACUAAUAUACUUCCUUUGCCCAAUCCAACUGCUGGUUCUUGAGGUGGACUUUCUUGGAUGAAUAUACUUCCUUUGCCCAAUCCAACUGCUGGUUCUUCAGGUGCGCUUUUAGGGAUGACUAUACUUCCUUUGUCCAACCCAGUUGCUGGCUCUUAAGGUGGACAUUUCAGAACGAAUAGACUUUCUUUGCCCAAUCCAACUACUGGCUCUUGAGGUGGACUUUCCAGCACUAAUAUGCUUCCUUUGCCCAAUCCAACUGCUGGCUCUUAAGGUGGACUUUCCUGGAUGAAUAGACUUCCUUUGCCCAAUCCAACUGCUGGUUCUGAAGGUGCGCUUCUAGGGAUGACUAUACUUCCUUUGUUCAACCCAGUUGCUGGCUCUUAAGGUGGACAUUUCAGAACGAAUAGACUUCCUUUGCCCAAUCCAACUGCUGGCUCUUGAGGUGGGCUUUCCAGCACUAAUAUACUUCCUUUGCUCAAUCCAACUGCUGGUUCUUAAGGUGGACUUUCAGGAUGAAUAGGCUUCCUUUGCCCAAUCCAACUGCUGGUUCUUCAGGUGCGCUUUUCGGGAUGACUAUACUUCCUUUGUCCAACCCAGUUGCUGGCUCUUAAGGUGGACAUUUCAGAACGAAUAGACUUCCUUUGCCCAAUCCAACUGCUGGUUCUUAAGGUGGACUUUCCUGGAUGAAUAGACUUCCUUUGCCCAAUCCAACUGCUGGUUCUGAAGGUGCGCUUUUUGGGAUGACUAUACUUUCUUUGUCCAACCCAGUUGCUGGCUCUUAUGGUGGACAUUUCAGAACGAAUAGACUUCCUUUACCCAAUCCAACUGCUUGCUCUUAAGGUGGACUUUUCAGAACGAAUAGACUUCCUUUGCCCAAUCCAACUGCUGGUUCUUAAGGUGGACUUUUCAGAACGAAUAGACUUCCUUUGCCCAAUCCAACCUCUAGUUCUUAAGGUGGACUUUCCUGGAUGAAUAGACUUCUUUGCCCAAUCCAAGUGCUGGCUCUUAAGGUGGACUGUGGGGGUAUUUAAGUAUUCUUACAGCAAGACUGUAUAAUAUGCUUGCUAAGUACAGAGCAAAUGGAAAUCCGUAACUGCAGUACAGAAUGUCAGCCAAGACUUUUUAAUGCAAUGACGCCCUUGUUUUAUGGAUUAGCCUCCCACCCUCAAACCCGCCUUUGCAUAUCACAGCAAGCUUCACGGAAAGAAAACAGCUGCACAAGUUGAUAGGAUUUGGUUCCAUUUGUUCAAAGAGGAAAGAAAUAUUUUAUAUACAUACGAGUAGUCAAAAUAGCCAAUGCAAUAGCCUGCCUAUAUGAUACACUUUUCCUCUCGCUCCUAUUGUUCCCAUUGGGGCUGUUGAUGUUAUUCAUGUUGUUUGCUGGUUGUUUCCUUCUUCGUUGCUGAAAGAUGCUUUGGCGUUCUCCUUGAGGAUGGAGGCGGUCAAAUGUUUCGUAUAGAUACCAUAAAUCUUGAAUAGACAAAGAAGGAUA